AUUGAACGCUGGCGGCAGGCCUAACACAUGCAAGUCGAACGGUAACAGGAAGCAGCUUGCUGCUUUGCUGACGAGUGGCGGACGGGUGAGUAAUGUCUGGGAAACUGCCUGAUGGAGGGGGAUAACUACUGGAAACGGUAGCUAAUACCGCAUAACGUCGCAAGACCAAAGAGGGGGACCUUCGGGCCUCUUGCCAUCGGAUGUGCCCAGAUGGGAUUAGCUAGUAGGUGGGGUAACGGCUCACCUAGGCGACGAUCCCUAGCUGGUCUGAGAGGAUGACCAGCCACACUGGAACUGAGACACGGUCCAGACUCCUACGGGAGGCAGCAGUGGGGAAUAUUGCACAAUGGGCGCAAGCCUGAUGCAGCCAUGCCGCGUGUAUGAAGAAGGCCUUCGGGUUGUAAAGUACUUUCAGCGGGGAGGAAGGGAGUAAAGUUAAUACCUU
rnacentral:rRNA from 1 species